rnacentral:rRNA from 1 species
AUGAACGCUGGCGGCGUGCUUAACACAUGCCAGUCGAACGGAAAGGCCCAAGCUUGCUUGGGUACUCGAGUGGCGAACGGGUGAGUAACACGUGGGUGAUCUGCCCUGCACUUCGGGAUAAGCCUGGGAAACUGGGUCUAAUACCGGAUAGGACCACAUUUUGGAUGGUGUGGUGGAAAGUUUUUCGGUGUGGGAUGAGCUCGCGGCCUAUCAGCUUGUUGGUGGGGUAAUGGCCUACCAAGGCGUCGACGGGUAGCCGGCCUGAGAGGGUGUACGGCCACAUUGGGACUGAGAUACGGCCCAGACUCCUACGGGAGGCAGCAGUGGGGAAUAUUGCACAAUGGGCGCAAGCCUGAUGCAGCGACGCCGCGUGGGGGAUGACGGCCUUCGGGUUGUAAACUCCUUUCGCUAGGGACGAAGCGUUAUGUGACGGUACCUGGAGAAGAAGCACCGGCUAACUACGUG